GGGUGAUUGGCGCUCAGCUGGAGAGCACCUCCCCUUACAAGGAGGGUCGGCGGUUCGACCUCCCGUCAUCACCCACCA
rnacentral:tRNA from 1 species